rnacentral:rRNA from 1 species
UUAAGCGACUAAGCGUACACGGUGGAUGCCCUGGCAGUCAGAGGCGAUGAAGGACGUGCUAAUCUGCGAUAAGCGUCGGUAAGGUGAUAUGAACCGUUAUAACCGGCGAUUUCCGAAUGGGGAAACCCAGUGUGAUUCGUCACACUAUCAUUAACUGAAUCCAUAGGUUAAUGAGGCGAACCGGGGGAACUGAAACAUCUAAGUACCCCGAGGAAAAGAAAUCAACCGAGAUUCCCCCAGUAGCGGCGAGCGAACGGGGAGGAGCCAGAGCCUGAAUCAGUGUGUGUGUUAGUGGAAGCGUCUGGAAAGGCGCGCGAUACAGGGUGACAGCCCCGUACACAAAAAUGCACAUGCUGUGAGCUCGAUGAGUAGGGCGGGACACGUGGUAUCCUGUCUGAAUAUGGGGGGACCAUCCUCCAAGGCUAAAUACUCCUGACUGACCGAUAGUGAACCAGUACCGUGAGGGAAAGGCGAAAAGAACCCCGGCGAGGGGAGUGAAAAAGAACCUGAAACCGUGUACGUACAAGCAGUGGGAGCACAGAGCAAUCUGUGUGACUGCGUACCUUUUGUAUAAUGGGUCAGCGACUUAUAUUCUGUAGCAAGGUUAACCGAAUAGGGGAGCCGAAGGGAAACCGAGUCUUAACCGGGCGUUAAGUUGCAGGGUAUAGACCCGAAACCCGGUGAUCUAGCCAUGGGCAGGUUGAAGGUUGGGUAACACUAACUGGAGGACCGAACCGACUAAUGUUGAAAAUUAGCGGAUGACUUGUGGCUGGGGGUGAAAGGCCAAUCAAACCGGGAGAUAGCUGGUUCUCCCCGAAAGCUAUUUAGGUAGCGCCUCGUGAAUUCAUCUCCGGGGGUAGAGCACUGUUUCGGCAAGGGGGGUCAUCCCGACUUACCAACCCGAUGCAAACUGCGAAUACCGGAGAAUGUUAUCACGGGAGACACACGGCGGGUGCUAACGUCCGUCGUGAAGAGGGAAACAACCCAGACCGCCAGCUAAGGUCCCAAAGUCAUGGUUAAGUGGGAAACGAUGUGGAAGGCCCAGACAGCCAGGAUGUUGGCUUAGAAGCAGCCAUCAUUUAAAGAAAGCGUAAUAGCUCACUGGUCGAGUCGGCCUGCGCGGAAGAUGUAACGGGGCUAAACCAUGCACCGAAGCUGCGGCAGCGACACUGUGUGUUGUUGGGUAGGGGAGCGUUCUGUAAGCCUGUGAAGGUGUGCUGUGAGGCAUGCUGGAGGUAUCAGAAGUGCGAAUGCUGACAUAAGUAACGAUAAAGCGGGUGAAAAGCCCGCUCGCCGGAAGACCAAGGGUUCCUGUCCAACGUUAAUCGGGGCAGGGUGAGUCGACCCCUAAGGCGAGGCCGAAAGGCGUAGUCGAUGGGAAACAGGUUAAUAUUCCUGUACUUGGUGUUACUGCGAAGGGGGACGGAGAAGGCUAUGUUGGCCGGGCGACGGUUGUCCCGGUUUAAGCGUGUAGGCUGGUUUUCCAGGCAAAUCCGGAAAAUCAAGGCUGAGGCGUGAUGACGAGGCACUACGGUGCUGAAGCAACAAAUGCCCUGCUUCCAGGAAAAGCCUCUAAGCAUCAGGUAACAUCAAAUCGUACCCCAAACCGACACAGGUGGUCAGGUAGAGAAUACCAAGGCGCUUGAGAGAACUCGGGUGAAGGAACUAGGCAAAAUGGUGCCGUAACUUCGGGAGAAGGCACGCUGAUAUGUAGGUGAAGUCCCUCGCGGAUGGAGCUGAAAUCAGUCGAAGAUACCAGCUGGCUGCAACUGUUUAUUAAAAACACAGCACUGUGCAAACACGAAAGUGGACGUAUACGGUGUGACGCCUGCCCGGUGCCGGAAGGUUAAUUGAUGGGGUCAGCGCAAGCGAAGCUCUUGAUCGAAGCCCCGGUAAACGGCGGCCGUAACUAUAACGGUCCUAAGGUAGCGAAAUUCCUUGUCGGGUAAGUUCCGACCUGCACGAAUGGCGUAAUGAUGGCCAGGCUGUCUCCACCCGAGACUCAGUGAAAUUGAACUCGCUGUGAAGAUGCAGUGUACCCGCGGCAAGACGGAAAGACCCCGUGAACCUUUACUAUAGCUUGACACUGAACAUUGAGCCUUGAUGUGUAGGAUAGGUGGGAGGCUUUGAAGUGUGG